UACGUAGGGUGCGAGCGUUAAUCGGAAUUACUGGGCGUAAAGCGUGCGUAGGUGGUGAGUUAAGUCUGAUGUGAAAUCCCCGGGCUCAACCUGGGAAUGGCAUUGGAUACUGGCUCGCUGGAGUGCGGUAGAGGGUGGUGGAAUUCCCGGUGUAGCAGUGAAAUGCGUAGAGAUCGGGAGGAACAUCUGUGGCGAAGGCGGCCACCUGGACCAGCACUGACACUGAGGCACGAAAGCGUGGGGAGCAAACAGG
rnacentral:rRNA from 1 species